GUGCUCGGUUCAGCAGCACAUAUACUAAAAUUGGAACAAUACAAAGAAGAUUAUCAUGGCCUCUGUGCAAGGAUGACACGCAAAUUCAUGAAGUGUUCCAGAUAUUU